GGAAGUAAAAGUCCUAACAAGGUUUCCGUAGGUGAACCUGCGGAAGGAUCAUUAAUGAGUUGUCAUGGGGUUCGAUGCUGGCAGCCAGUUUUUGGAUGCAUGUGCUUGCCCUAACAAUCAUCUUCUUCCAAACACCUGUGCACAUUUUUGAGGGAGUCUUGAGUUGGUUGCCGCUCUUGGGUGAUUUUCUCACAUUCCCUUAAAUCAUUAUACGCUAUUAACAAUGUUGAACGUGCUUUGUGCCGCAAGGCCAUUAAUAUAAUACAACUUUUAACAACGGAUCUCUUGGCUCUC
rnacentral:misc_RNA from 1 species